CAAUCUGGAUUUCCAGCUUUUCCUAUUCCUGCAAUUUUACCAUCUUUAAUACCAAUGUCUGCUUUUACGAUACCAGCAAUAGCAUCUACCAACAAGGCAUUUGUGAUAACUGUAUCAAGUAUAUCCCAAUUCACGUUCAUUCUGUUUGAAGCUUGUCCCAUGCCUUCACGUAUUA
rnacentral:sRNA from 1 species